AAGCCCCGGAGAUCUUAACGUCUCUUUUCCAGGUUUGCAGCCUGGUGAUUUUACCUCGGGACC
rnacentral:tRNA from 1 species